rnacentral:lncRNA from 1 species
UUUAAUCUUAAACUUUGUGUUCUUACAUUUAAAACAUAUACUUCGAUUUUUAAAAGUGGUUGCUGUUGUGAUAUUUACAUUUUCCUGUUAUAUAAUUGUAUGGAAAUCGAGCCUUUUGCUCUCUCACUCCCUAUCUGUACCUCUCUUCUUUGUUCUGAUAUCCUCCUUUGUUUUGAUCAGUUAUAGUUCUCUUGUGUUUUAUACCCGACCUUGUUACCUCUGUAGUUACCCACACUUCCACUCUCCAGUGGUUGCUGUAGAGACCACAACAGGAGUCCUUGGUUUAGAGGAGUGUAUGCUAAAAUAGUAUUUCUCUUAUUUCCUGGAUGAUACAAGGGCAUUCUUACACUGUGACUUCUAUUUUUUUUCUUGGCAAUUAUUAUGUUUUGAUUCUCCUUACGCUUUAAAUCCUAGAAUAAUUUUCUUAACGAAUUUAUGUUCAGUUAGAGACAGCCGUCUCUUAACCUUUACUGAUAGUUUUUAUUUCUCCCGACAGUAAUAUGUAUCUUUCUGACAGUAUUUUUCCUCUGUUCAAAGUCUCCUGUUUUGUUUCUUUAUUAUUUAGCAUUGUUCUACACCCGCUGAAUUUUCAAGUCCUGUUUGUUUAAAGGCACAUUUAUUCACUCUCAUCUUUAAAGGUGUUUCUGCUAUGAGUCCAGUUCUUGUUUGGCGAUAUGCAUGGACAAUUCUACAGCUGUCGUUUGCUUGUCUCCUGGCUGUCAUGGUCCUGACUAUCAAGGUGGUAUCAGUAUUGCUACUUCCUUUUAAUGAAAAGCUUUAUUUCUUCUAUGUUUAGUAUUUUCUGUUUUCUUCCAACAGUUUUGGAUUGCUAUGGUAGGUACAGUUCUAAAAUGUUUCCCUAUCGUCCUCAGGCCUGUGAUUUUCAGUGCAGAUGGGUUAUGGACAUAUGAAGAGUGGAGGCUACCGCCCUGUACAGGAGGGAGUCUGAAGAUACAGCCUGGAUCCUACACCAACUGACAUGGAUCAAGGGGUAGAAGUCACAACUGGGCUGGACUUGACUCAGUCAAGCCAAGUGCUAUCUUUGCAUGCAAAGUGUUUUCCCAUCUUGCUUUGGAGGAUAUACAUACAGCCAUAACGGAGGCUUCUACAGAUGUAGAUAGUCUGUAAUUGUGUUAGAGCAGUCCCUGGCCCCUAGCUGUGAAAAAUUAGACCUUCAGGACUGUAUUCUGACAGCCUAAGGGAACUUGGAGAAGUGUCCUGUGUUUCUUCUGAGAACCCCAGUGUGAGCCACAGCUUAAGGGCACUAAGCACAGAAUCAGACAUGUCUCUGUUCCAAGGAUCUCUCUGCAAAUAUAUGCACAAAGGCUUAUUGUUGCAGGGCACAGAAAACUGAUGCUUCCCCAGUUUUAGUAGUAUGGUGAUGGACUCUGAGGCCUUGCACAUCCUAGGCAAGCCCUCUAACAUUAGAGCACAUCCUAGACCCUGAUUUUAAUUUUUCAUUAUGUUCUCUUCUGUUGAGACAGGGUCUUGUAUAGCUCAGUCUGACUUUGAACUCACUGUCAGUGAGAAUGGCCUUGAACUGCUGAUCGCCCUGCCUUCACCUCCCAUGCGCUGAAUGUUUUGGAACUGUGCUUGGUCAGGGAUACCUUCUCUCCUUUCUUCCUUUCUCGUCUUCAUUGGGUUAUUUAUAGUGCCUCGUGUGCCUUGUGUCUGUGUCUUCUGCAUUUAGUUUUGUGCAUGACUUUAAAGCGUCUUCAAGGGAAGUCUGGUGUGUCCCUCAGGUUUACUUUCAAACCCAUUGUGGCUUACACUCCAAUAGUCUUCCCAAUCCUGAAGCCUUCUGAAACAUCUAUGGGACAUUUGCAGCCUUCCAUUUCUGUUCCUAGCUAAUGCUUCAAGGUGCGCUCAGUUUAAGAGGUGGGCGGGUACUUCAGGAGGAAAUCAGUUCACAUCUCCAUGUGUCCUUCAUUUCCAGGAUCUUAAUUCUGUUAUAUCUAACUGUUGCUUAUCCCAAAGCCCUUGCUUGGUUUAUGUCCUUAAUGUAGUAAAGAUUCUGCUAGACCUUAACCAUAGGGGGUUUUUUUUUUCCUUUAUGAUUCAGUGUAAAAUUUGAAAAUUGUUGUGGAAAAAAAUAAUGGAUAAUGUUCCAAUUAUAGAUGUUUCCCCCUUUCCUCUCUAGAGUUGGUGUUUUAUAUAUUCUGGUUGUCUUCACUGAUCUCUGGCUUGUUUUAAUUGUCCUCCGUGAGAGAAUUCUAUCAGCCUUCCGAGCUCAGCGUGUGUUAAGCACAGGCAGGAAGUCAAAACCCAAGUGAGUCUCCAUUUACUAAAGAAGGAGAUCCCAAGUUUUCUUUCAGUUCUGUUAGGAAUUGAUGACAAGAUCAAUUGGACGUGGAAGAAAACAUGCUUCUGGCUAGUGGGCGGAAGCACAGCAAGUGGUGUAGCCAGGAAGCACUGUGGUCUACAACUGAAAUGCGUCCCUGUUCACUAGUUUCAUGGGUCAGCAGUAUAAUCCCUGACAUCACUAAGCAGAGGCAGAUGAAAGGCCUUAGCGUGAUAAAUAGUGACGAAAGUGAAGGUACUGUUCAGCAGUGGGACCUACUGCCACAUCAUCUGGCCUUGGGUAAUAAAUGACACACAGCACAGUGUAUUAUACAGACCGCUGGGAAUGGCUUGUGCUUCUGAAUCUCAGGCCCAUCCCUUGUGUCUUGAGGCCAAGUCCAAUCUGAGCAAGGAGGCACUUACAGAGGGCGGGAUUGUGAUUUCAUGCAUGGUCUGUAAGAGUCAGGUGAGACGGGCUUAGGACCUGUUAUUAACCAUGUUCAGCACUAGAAAGCAAUGCAAAUCUCCAGUUUCCCGUUAGUGUUGGGGUAAUAAAGAACCAUCCUUGUCAUAGCUUGUUUUGGUGUCUGUGUGAUGUGGCCAUUUCCCACUCUCACCCUCUUGGCAUCUCCUGUCCACAUUCAGGACACAACCACACACACUAACACUUACUGAUCAGGUUCCUGAUUGCUGCCCCAUGUGUUAAGAACCAUGCACAGCUGGGUGGAGUGGGAGGCAGGUUAAAAUCCUUCCCUGAAGGUCUCAGUGCUCAAGCAAAUGUCAUAUUUGCUUUCUCUGUAUUACCAGGCCUGACCUGCUCCAUGGACAUAACAGGUACUAAGCUGGAUAUG